rnacentral:rRNA from 1 species
UGGUCAAGCUAUUAAGGGCACAUGGGGGAUGUCUUGGCAUCAGAAGAAAAGGCGUGGAAGACUGCGAUAAGCUCGGGGAAGUUGUCAAACGAACGUUGAUCCCGAGAUUCCUGUUCAACCCAGGGAACUGAAACAUCUAAGUACCUGGUGGAGAAGAAAGAAAAAUCGAUUCCGUCAGUAGCGGCGAGCGAAAUCGGAAUAGCCCAAACCUUGAAGAUUUUCUUCAAGGGGUUGUAGGACCUCUCGUAUGGGAGUUACAAAGCCACCAAUUAGCCGAUAUGACAUGGAAAGGUCAACCAUAGAGGGUGACAGUCCCGUAGGCGAAAGUUGAGUGGCCUCCCGAGAGGCACCUGAGUAGGUCCAGUCACGUGAAACCUGGAUUGAAUCCGCGGGGUCCAUCCCGCAAGGCUAAAUACUCUCUGAUGACCGAUAGUGAACUCAGUAGCGCGAGUGAAAGAUGAGAAGAACCCCGACAAGGGGAGGUAUGUGAACCUGAAACCAUGUGCCUACAAGCGGUCGGAGCCCGAUUUAUGGGUGACGGCGUGCCUUUUGCAUAAUGAUCCGGCGAGUUACCGUCUGCGGCAGGUUAAGGCCUUACGGGCUGUAGCCAGAGGGAAACCGAGUCUUAAUAGGGCGUUAGUCGUAGGUGGUAGACGCGAAACCACGUGAUCUACCCAUGAGCAGGUUGAAGCGCGGGUUAUACCGCGUGGAGGACCGAACCCACUUGGGUUGAAAACCGAGGGGAUGACUUGUGGGGAGGAGUGAAAGUCUAAUCAAACGUGGAGAUAUCUCGUUCUCUCCGAAAUAGCUUUUGGGCUAGCCUUGAGCCACUACACACCGGGGGUAGAGAGACUGAAUCGGUUUGGGGCCCUUCCCGGGGUACCCUGCUGGACCAAACUCCGAAUACCGGUGUGACUAUCUCAGGAGUCAGUCCGCGAGGGAUAAGCUUCGCGGUCGAGAGGGAAACAACCCAGACCGUCUGCUAAGGUCCCCAAGAGAUGCUCAGUCACUAAGGAAGUUGAAUUGCCGAGACAACCAGGAUGUUGGCUUAGAAGCAGCCACCAUUUAAAAAGUGCGUAACAGCUUACUGGUCGAGCAAUUCUGCGCCGAUAAUGAACGGGAGUAAGCAUCUCACCGAAGCAGCGGAUUCGAAAGAAUGGUAGGAGAGCGCCGAUCGUCAGAUACGAGCCGUACCGUAAGGAGCGGUGUUGGGGCGAUCGGGUGAUAAUGCCGGAAUGAGUAACGAUAAAACAGGUGAGAAUCCUGUUCGCCGAAAGCCUAAGGUUUCCUGGGGAAGGCAAUUCCGCCCAGGGUUAGCCGGUCCCUUAGUCGAGGCUGAAAAGCGUAGACGAUGGACAGUGGGUCAAUAUUCCCACGCUACGGUUGUGGACUGAUGGAGGGACGGCGUUUCAAAAGUGAUCGGACUGGUAGACAUGUCCGUGGGCCCAAGCAAGGUGAGGAAUAGGCAAAUCCGUCCUCAUAAGCCAAGUUUGGGAACUGACUCUUCGGAGGUAAUCAUUGGAGGGACGUCCAAGAAAAGCUUCUAAAGGUUGAAGCAACUGUAACCGUACUAAAACUGACACAGGUAGGCGAGUCGAGUAGACUAAGGCGCUCGGGAGAACGGUGGUUAAGGAACUCUGCAAAAUGGCCCCGUAAGUUCGCGAUAAGGGGUGCCCCUGAUGGUUCACGCUGUCGGGGGUCACAGUAAAUCGGCUCUGGCAACUGUUUAUCAAAAACACAGGACCCUGCUAACUCGCAAGAGGAUGUAUAGGGUCUGACGCCUGCCCGGUGCCGGUAG